UGCCCUGCUGAAGGAAGUAGAAAGGACGGGAACUGGUCAGUCAACAGCAUUCAGGUGCCAAGUCGUGAACACACUGCGGGGAGGAGACCGGUGACAGAAAGUGACUGGAAGACACAGGAAUCCCUAAAAGAUCGAAAAAAUGUUCUCCGCAAACUAAACAAAGUUAGAUUGAGAAAUGCAGCACGGUACCAUGGGGGCCUGGUUCGGCCCUGACCCGAUGCCCGCAGGCGCCGGCCUCAGACGCUCAGAGCAGCCUGGGGAGAGAGGGGACACUUUGACUUUUCAAGAUCUAAGAGUUAUGGUUCCCUUUUGGCAAAAUGCUUUUUGUCCUGUGAUAACACUUGAGUCCUUUGUGGUAGCACCGAUUGUGGCCUUGGCAGCCCAGAAUCCCAUGGACAGAGGAGCCUGACAGGCUGCAGUCCAUGGGGUCGAAAAGAGUUGGACACAAGUGAAGUGACUUAGGAGGCACGCACUGGGAUGACAGACCUGUAACAUCAUUAAAGAAACAUAGGGAUCCCAGAAUGACAAGACUGAACUCUGCCUUCAAAACAGAACAGGAGGAAAAAUGGCUGCUGGGGACCUAGACGGCCUUGCUGAGAUGAAUUCUUGGGUGAUUUGAUUCAAUGAAGCCACUCAUUUCAAAACUGCCUCUUUGUUGUUUUUUUUUUUAAACAAAAAAGUAGGAGUCAUUCAACCUUUUUCGGCAGAUUGAAGUGAUUUUUAAGUGAAUACAGCAAGCAGCCCC